rnacentral:lncRNA from 1 species
GACUAGGUCAUUCUUGUGCCCUUCUUGGUGGCAGGUGAGCCCAUGACAAUGAAUGAUACCUUGCAAAUUCUUGUUUCUGUUCAUCCACUCCUACUCUCUCCUCCUGCUCAUUCACUUGGACACUUUUCUUUCAUCCCAGGCAGAUGUGCAGCAUAUAUUUCAUAUGCUGUGGAGGACUUGGGCUUCUUUGAGAAACAAUGGCAAAGUUCUGAGGAACUACAAUGAAGAGAUGGAGACAUGGAGUGAAGAGAGGAGCAUUAGGGGCCACACAGCAGUGGGGAUGCUUCAGCUGUUUAUGCAGGUGCCAUGUUGA